rnacentral:ncRNA from 1 species
CGACCCCAGCUCAGGAGAGAACACCCGCUGAGUUUAAGCAUAUAAUUAAGCGGAGGAAAAGAAACUUACAAGGAUUCCCCUAGUAACGGCGAGCGAACCGGGAAGAGCCCAGCAUGAAAAUCGGGUGGCAGCGUCGCCUGAAUUGUAGUCUGUAGAAGCGUCCUUAGUGGUGGACCGGGCCCAAGUCCCCUGGAAGGGGGCGCCUGAGAGGGUGACAGCCCCGUCGCGCCUGGACCCUGCCGCACCACGACGCAUUGUCGGCGAGUCGGGUUGUUUGGGAAUG